rnacentral:lncRNA from 1 species
AGCUGUGGUGUAGGUCGAAAAUGUGGCUCAGAUCCUGAGUUGCUAUGGCUGUAGGCUAGCAGCUAUAGCUCUGAUUCAACCCCUAGCCUGGGAACUUCCAUAUGCCGUGGGUGUGACCCUGAAAAGCAAAGAAAGUAAGUAAAUAAAUAAAUACAUAAAUGAAAAGUUGAUAAGAGUGAUAAGAGUGGCUGACUUCCCAUGCAGCUCAGCAGAUUUAGGAUCUGGGGGCACAGCCAAAAACAAAAAUCAAAACAAAACAAAAAGCAGGUAAGAGAACCUGAAUGACCCACUGGAGAAUUAAACUAUUCAGAUAAAAACAUAGUCAAUAAUUUAAAUUUCCUUAAAAAAUCAUAUUCCAUUCCUAAUAAUGCAAUCUAAAGCCAUUAGGUGGAGCACGGCAAGGAUGGCAUCUGCAGUGGUGUUGGGGGACAUCCUGGUGGCCCAGAGUGGGAUAAUGCAGUUCAAGUGGGGUCAAGAGAACAUCCUACAGAGGAGAGGGUGGCCUGGUAUAGGGUGUCAGACCCCAAGCAAGGUAAGGAGGGUAAACCACUUACCUGGGGCAGCCUGGCCCUGGAAAGUCAGAGCCUGAGCUCAGAGCUCCUGAGGAAGGUGAAGGGGUGAGGGUUGGGGGGGGUUGGUGACACAAGGAAAACCUGGAAAGAGGAUUAUAGAGCCCAGCACAGAAGGGCAGGAAUCUCAGCAGAUGGGGGAGUGAGGCAAGGAUUAGAGAGUGUUUGCAUACAAGGGUGUGAUAUUGUGAUUUACAAUAAGAAGUAUGAGAGUUCCCAUUAUGGCUCAAUGGGUUAAGGACCUAACAUUGUCUCUCUUAGGAUGUGGUUCAAUCCCUGGCCUCGCUUAGUGGGUUAUAGGGAUCCAGCAUUGCUGCAAGCUAUGUUGUAGUUCACAUAUUUGGCUCAGAUCUGGCAUUGCUGUGUCUGUAACAUAGGCCUCAGCUGCCGCUCCAAUUCAUCCCUGGCCUGGGAAUUUCCACAUGCUGCAGGUGUGGCCAUAAAUGGAGAAAAAAAAAAAAAAAGAAAUAUGUAUUUCAUCUUCUAGUUUCUGCCACAGAGUUCCUAAAACCGUUGGAAUUUCCUGAGCCGAAGAGGAUAAAGGUGAGUUUUCAUUGUGUUAAUGAGGUGACUUUGGGAACGUUGCCAGGAGAACCCACUUAUCGUGAUUAGAGAUGGAACAUUCAGUCCCGCCUCUCUGACUUAAGGGGAGGGAAGAGGUUGAACCAAUAACCAAUGACCAACCAUUUGACCAAUCAUGUCUUUGUAAUGAAACCUCCAUAAAAGCCCAAAAGGACGGCAUUCAGAGAGCUUCUGGGUUGGUGAACACGUGCAGAUUGGCGGAGGGUGGAGUGGUCAUUGAGGGCAUGGAUCCUCUGAACCCUUUCUCCACACCUUGCCCUGUGCCUCUCUUCCAUCUGGCUGUUCCUGGGUUAUAUCUUUUUAUAAACUUGGUAAGUAAAUUGUUUCUAUGGGCAGCUCUAGCACAUUGAUGGACCCCAAGGAAGAGGCUGUUGAAACUUCCAAUCUAUAGCUGGUUGGUCAGAAUCAGAUGUGACUCCUGGCCUUGAGAUGGGUGUCAGGAAUGUGGGGGUGGGUGGGGAGGGGGCGGCCGUUGUGUAAGAUGGAACUUUUAACCUGAGGGAUUUGGCAAUUUUUCCAGGUAGUAUCAGAAUUGAGUUGAAUUAGGACACCCAGAUGGUAUCAGAGAAUUGCUUGGUAGUGUGGGAAAACCCUGCAGCCACUGGAACUGGUUAAAGGGGGUUGAUCAAAAGUAGUGGUCUUAUUAAGGAGAAGGAGGAAGUUCCCACGUGGUGCAGUGGGGUAUGGAUCUGGCAUUGCCACAGCUGUCACAACUGUAGUGAGGGCCAAUCCCUGGCCACAUGCUGUGGGUGCGGCAAAAAAAUAUAAAUAAAUAAAUAAUGAAAGACUAGAUUCUCAUUGUUGGAAAGAGUUAUAAAUACAGAAAAUGGGAGACAAAAAUCUGGAAUGACCACUGUAGUAUUGAAUUAGAAUUGGAAAUAUCUGUACAAACUCAGUUUUCAAGAUAGAUUUAGAUAGGCAAUAGGUAGAUAGCUAGCUAGAUACCUAGAUAGAUGGAUUUCCCCUAAGAGAGCCCGCAGAAAGAGUCUGGGACUAGCAGACUAAGAAAAUCACACCUUCUGCCCAGAUCUUGUCCUCUAAAUACCAUUUUCUACCACAGAGAAUGAAAGAUGCUUGGAAAACUGGCUAAUUCCAGAGAUGAGGCAGGGAAAAUACAAGGUGAGCCUGGAACAGCUCGCGCUAAUAAACAAGGCUGUGCUCAAUGCUGGAGGCAUAGCAAAAGGACACAGAGGCCAGAUGUGAGGGGCUUCCAGUGGCCAAACGGGAGCCAAUUUAAGCAUAAAAAUAAACCAGAAUAAUGAACUAUACCCCUUUGAAUAAAAUAGGAGCCCAUACAGAUAUAAACACAUAAACCGAAAGUUUGGUGAGGAAUGAGAUACUUAGAUGAUUUUAAAAGAUCUUCCCCUCUCGAGUGUUCACUUAUGACAGAGGCAAAGGAUAACUCUAGAGCUAAGAAGCCUGGCAGACACCACUUAAAUCAAGUGACCAACAUCAUUAAUGGGACAAAUCUAAAUCGUAUGCCACAUGAUAGGAUGGGAUGAGAAGAACACAGCAUCACCCCUGUGAUAUUCCUGCCAAAGAUGCAUGACCUGAAUCUAAUUGUGAGACGAUAUCAAGGCAAAACUGAGGGUCAUUCUACAAAAUAAUGUUCUGAAAUCUCGGCUGCCUCUGUACACUGGUGCUGAAUAGAAUUAUGGAGUUUCUGCUGUGGCAGAGUGGGUUAAGAUGCUGACUGCAGCAGCUCAGGUCACCUCAGAGGUGCAGCCUCCAUCCCCAGCCCAGUUCAGCGGGUUAAGGAUCUGGCAUUGCCACAGCUGUGGUGUGGGUUGCAACUGCAGCUCAGAUUCAAUCCCUGGCCUAGGAUUGUCCAUGUGCCGUGGAAGGGAGGAAAGAAAAAUGAAGGAAGAAAGGAAAAGGAAGAAAGAAAGAGAAAGAGAAAGAGAGAAAGAUAGGGAGACAGAGUUUUGGAAGUAACAGAGUAGCUAUUUCUUUGCCAGGCAAAGAGGGAACACAGCAGGCCUCAACGUCGGUGGGCCCCCCCGGGGUAGAGAGGAGUCUUAUAGAGUCAAGGAGCAAGGUGUGAUCAGCUCGUGGACAUUCUUCUGAUUGGUUGGCGGUGAGGUAAUUGGGAGCCGGCAUCAUCCCCCUUAUGGUUCCAACCCAUCUGAGGCCUACAUUCCUCUGGGCAGCCUACAGCUAACUUCUUCCAUCCAGUGGGGGCUUCAGCACCUGCAAAACAGCUCCAAAGACAUGACUCAUUCUAUCUAUAGUCCUUGAAGAAGAAGGAAAAGUCCUUGACCUUGUUAAAUGGCUAAACUAUUAUUACUUAGUCUGGCUUAACUCUUUUCCUUUUUCUCUGUACUUUCUCACUUCUCUGGUUAAAUUGAUUCUUUGACUAGAGUUUUUCUAUAGACAAAAAGGCAGGUGGAGGACCUGAGUGGGGGUCUAUACUGGAAAGACCUCAAGAGUCCUGCUCAGUUACAACUAGCCUGGAAUUUUUCAAACAUGCUGAGGCAUAAAAGUUAAAACUGAGUAGUCAUACCAGGUGAAGACUAAAGAAAAUGGCAAUUAAAUGCAAUGCAUGAUCCCGGAUUGAAUUCUUUCACUAUAAAAGACAUUACAAGAAGUUCCCGUUGUAGCUCAGUGGUUAACGAACCUGACUAGGAACCAUGAGGAUGUGGGUUCGAUCCACUGAGGUAGGUUAAGGAACCGGCACUGCCAUGAGCUAUGGUGUAGGUUGCAGAUGUGGCUCGGAUCCUGUGUUGCUCUGGCUGUGGUGUAGGCCAGCAGCUGCAGCUCUGAUUGAACCUCUAUCCUGGGAACUUCCAUAUGCCACGGGUGCGGCCCUAAAAAAGACAAAAGACAAAAAAAAAAAAA